rnacentral:rRNA from 1 species
UACGGGGGGGGCAAGCGUUGUUCGGAUUUACUGGGCGUAAAGGGCGCGUAGGCGGUCACUACAAGUCAGUUGUGAAAUCUCUGGGCUUAACUCAGAACGGUCAACUGAUACUGUCGGACUAGAGUGCAGAAGGGGCAACUGGAAUUCUCGGUGUAGCGGUGAAAUGCGUAGAUAUCGAGAGGAACACCUGCGGCGAAGGCGGGUUGCUGGGCUGACACUGACGCUGAGGCGCGAAAGCUAGGGGAGCGAACGGG